GUUCGUCUAACACUUAGACAAGCCAUAAGGUAACUAGUUAAGUGAAUAAGAUUUAAUGAAGUUACAACCAACAAGCAGGCCUGAUUUGGAUUUCUUAUCUGAAAUUUGUAAUAAAUCAGUCUGCCUCAACCUUUUAAGUUUAAUUAGACCAUAACCAGUACGUGUAAGACAUGCUAAACUAUCUUUCUUUAAGUUGAGGAGACAUGUUUGAGCCUUUAACUGUUUAUGUGCUUUCCCCUAAUUUGCUUAAUGUAUUUUUGAUUGUCGUCAUAGAAUUUUGUCCUUUAAACCAUAAAAUCCCAAAAUCCCUUCCCUUUAGGAUUAGUAGUCCUAAAUGCCUUCGUGACUGAUAAGAUUGGGGAGGGUAAUAGCAUGCAAUAAGUAACGACACCAUUCCACGCUUUAAUACCUUAACGGGGUGGGAAAGGAUAGAUAUGGAUAUGAUAACCGGUACGCAAAUGCCACAUGUAGCCCCUCUUCUGAGGAGUGAUUACCGGGUAUUGCAUUGAUGUGAUCCAUAUUAUUUGUAAACAUAGGAUCCCCUUUCCCUUUACUUGUUUGUUUUAUUUUCAAAAUUUUAAAACUACUUAAAUUUUAGCUUUUCUUUAUUUUCUUUAACUUCAAUUACUUGCAAUCGUUAUGUGAAAACCCCUUGUAUAGGAAACCUUUAC
rnacentral:lncRNA from 1 species